rnacentral:rRNA from 1 species
AUUGAACGCUGGCGGCAUGCCUUACACAUGCAAGUCGAACGGCAGCACGGGAGCAAUCCUGGUGGCGAGUGGCGAACGGGUGAGUAAUAUAUCGGAACGUGCCCAGUCGUGGGGGAUAACGUAGCGAAAGCUACGCUAAUACCGCAUACGAUCUAUGGAUGAAAGCGGGGGAUCGCAAGACCUCGCGCGAUUGGAGCGGCCGAUAUCAGAUUAGGUAGUUGGUGGGGUAAAGGCUCACCAAGCCGACGAUCUGUAGCUGGUCUGAGAGGACGACCAGCCACACGGGGACUGAGCCACGGCCCAGACUCCUACGGGAGGCAGCAGUGGGGAAUUUUGGACAAUGGGCGCAAGCCUGAUCCAGCAAUGCCGCGUGCAGGAUGAAGGCCUUCGGGUUGUAAACUGCUUUUGUACGGAGCGAAAAGGCUUCCACUAAUACUGGGGGCUCAUGACGGUACCGUAAGAAUAAGCACCGGCUAACUACGUGCCAGCCGCCGCGGUAAAAC